GUGGCCAUUUCAGCCACUGCUGCUGCCUUCUCUGUUCCUAACUUGAUAGUUGGCUGCGUGACACUGGAAGAUACUCGAGGAAAAGUGACAUCAGGUGUCACAGAGUUUAUUCAGGAUGGCCAGGUUUGUCACACUGAGUGAAAGUAAAGUUGGAGGAAAAAGAAAUCACCUUUGUACAGGAGAACUUGAGAGUGCCUAUGCCAAAAACAGGGGGACCUGGCGUUAAAGACACCCAGUGCACUGGAGCUAAAAAGCCAAGCCUCAGAACCAAGCAAAUGGAAUUUCUCUCUAUGAGCAGUAAGCUGUCUUGGUCAAAAUACUUCCACUGAGCUGGCAAGCAUCAGGGGAGGCCCUGAGAUGCAGCAGGAAGCAGAUGGACCUGGUGGCUCUUUGGCUCCUUUAUGACGCUCCCUUACCGCUGAGGAGGUGGGGAAUAAACAUAAAGAAUCUCUGGGCCUCAUCACACUGCUGAAGGGGUUCCUGGCAUAGAAGUUAUGGCUCACAAUGAUGAAUUAUAAAGAACUGGAGCAGAGCAACUGGCAGCCUCCAAAUACAAAGGAAAGGAAAUACAGCGACCACAGCAGUCGUCCCUGCUUGUGUGUCCCCUGGAAACCUGGGAAAAGCAGGAGGAGGAGAGGGGCUUCAGUACACAGCUACCAAGAGCCUGCUUCCCAGGAAAUGGAGAACUUGUGCUCUGUGAGUAAACCAUCUAAACCCCACCAUGAACAGGAUCAGAGGGCCAGCUCCAGAAGUCACUGCCGCAUGGGAUGGUCUGUAGCAUUGAUCCAUGUGGGCUGGGCUCAUCCUUGCAGCCAUCUCUUUCACCAUUCUUUUUUUUAAAGACAUAUUUAUUUAUUUGAAAGGCAGAGAUACAGAGAGGCAGAGUGAUAGAG